rnacentral:tRNA from 1 species
CCAUAGUCUAGUGGAUAAAACGUUGGCCUCCGGAGCCGAAAACGCAGGUUCGAUUCCUGUUGGGCG